CCUAGGUAACCCGGAGGAGCAGUUGAACUGUUGCUACAGCUGUUGGUGAUGGAGAGAAGCUAGAAGAGGGAAGACAGGAAAGGGCUUCUAAAGAGAAGGAUGGAAGGAGGCGACAGAAGAUGCUGAGGAGAAGAAGCAAAGACAUGAAAGAGAGAGAGACUUACCUGCUGAUUCAGUUCCUGUCAUGGAUCCGGAGCAGCAUUUAAAGUGUCAGUCCUGACUGAUGCUAUGAGAGAGUUUGGUGGGACUAUGAGAAGAGCACCUCCAGAGUUAAGGGGUUAAGCCCUUGCAUUGCAAGCAGAUGGACUGGGAGAAAUGAAGCCUUGCAACCCCAUCCUCUGCAUGGCUACCAUUGGAAGGAGGAGAAAAACCUGCUUUGCUGAGGACUUUCCCUGUCUCUCUUCAACACCUGAGCUGCCCCCGUCCCUCUGCAGCCCCAACCACCCUCCCCAGUCCAGUCCAAUCCACCUGUUGCUGGAGCUGUUGGCGAGAGAGAGACGUUAGAAGAAGGAAGACAGGAAAGAGCUACUAAAGAGAAGGGUGGAAGGAGGCUGCAGAAGAAGCUGAGGAGAAGAAGCAAAGACUUGAGAAAGAGAGGCUUACCUGCUGUAACCCUGCUUCUUACUUUUGCCCAUAAAUUAUUUUAACUUAA